GAUGAAGAACGCAGCGAAAUGCGAUAAGUAGUGUGAAUUGCAGAAUUCAGUGAAUCAUCGAAUCUUUGAACGCACAUUGCGCCCCUUGGUAUCCCGAGGGGCAUGCCUGUUCGAGCGUCAUUUCACCACUCAAGCCUGGCUUGGUGUUGGGCGACGUCCCCUUUGGGGACGCGCCUCGAAACGCUCGGCGGCGUGGCACCGGCUUUAAGCGUAGCAGAAUCUUUCGCUUUGGAAGUCGGGGCCCCGCCUGCCGGAAUACCUACUCGUAAGGUUGACCUCGGAUCAGGCAGGGAUACCCGCUGAACUUAAGCAUAUCAAUAAGCGGAGGA
rnacentral:misc_RNA from 1 species